AAAACAAAAAACAUGGAGACUUAUAUAGGUUCAUAAUCGGUUGAACGUUUCUACCAACUACCGUAAAUAGUUGUCUAUAAGUAUCCGCAGAGGUAAA
rnacentral:ncRNA from 2 species